AUGGCGGCGUAUCCAUCGACGUCAGCCUUUGGCACAAGGAUCUUGGCGAUGGAUACAGGAGGUCCCGAGGAUCUUGACGUCAAUUACUUCUUGAUAUUGGACAACGUCCGCGCGCGGGGCGUCGCCGUUGGCCCCAGGCAGGAUUUCCUUGUCGCUGAAUCCGUCUACUACCUCCCAGUCGGCAACAACAAGCUGUUCAUUCUGAGCCGGGAGGUCUUCGUGGUGCUCUGUCUGGAAGAGCGCUGCCCCCCGGCGCCGGUUGGAUCUUCCAGCAUGGAGUGGUCGCGCCAAGAUAUCCCUGAGCCGCCAUUCAAUGCCCGCGACGUCGCCUCCUACGCCAUGCACCCCGACGGACGGACCUUCCUCUUCAGCACCAAGAAAAAGGACGCCUCUGAGGCCACCUUCGCCUUCGACACGGAGGAGCUUCUGUGGAAACGACUUGGCAACUGGGCGCUGCCCUUGGCCGGCCGCGGCUACUUUGACCCGCACCUCGACGCCUUCGUCGGGCUCUCCGAUGACCCGGACACCCUCGGCCAACUCUACUGCUGCUACGCCGUGCCCGGCUCCGACAACGGUGACCGUGCCCCUGAGUGGAAGCUCUGCAAGGAGAAGCUGUUCAGCGACGACGACCCAGCCAAGAGGCAUGUAAACGCUACCCUCGUGCACAUGGGGUGCCAUGGCAAAUUCUGCCUCGUGCUAUGCGUCUACGUUCAGGAUGAUGAGGACGACACAGCUGAUCAUCAGCCCCUCAUUGAUGAGCAUGGAGUUUUGCGCCUACCGCCGGGAUGCCGACGCCUGUAUCGUUUGACCACAUUCUCUCUCAGCCAUGACAAUAAUGGAGACCUCACGACCGGCAAGAGCCGUCAGGUGCACUACUACAAAGUGCCUAAAGCAACCACUAAUUGUUUCGUCGCUGAAGGUCCCGUGGCAUUUUGGAUCUAA
rnacentral:rRNA from 1 species